rnacentral:rRNA from 1 species
GAUGAACGCUGGCGGCGUGCCUAAUACAUGCAAGUCGAGCGAACAGAUGAGGAGCUUGCUCCUCUGACGUUAGCGGCGGACGGGUGAGUAACACGUGGAUAACCUACCUAUAAUACUGGGAUAACUUCGGGAAACCGGAGCUAAUACCGGAUAAUAUAUUGAACCGCAUGGUUCAAUAGUGAAAGACGGUUUUGCUGUCACUUAUAGAUGGAUCCGCGCCGCAUUAGCUAGUUGGUAAGGUAACGGCUUACCAAGGCAACGAUGCAUAGCCGACCUGAGAGGGUGAUCGGCCACACUGGAACUGAGACACAGUCCAGACUCCUACGGGAGGCAGCAGUAGGGAAUCUUCCGCAAUGGGCGAAAGCCUGACGGAGCAACGCCGCGUGAGUGAUGAAGGUCUUCGGAUCGUAAAACUCUGUUAUUAGGGAAGAACAAAUGUGUAAGUAACUAUGCACGUCUUGACGGUACCUAAUCAGAAAGCCACGGCUAACUACGU